UACGGGGGGGGCAAGCGUUGUUCGGAAUUACUGGGCGUAAAGGGCUCGUAGGCGGCCAACUAAGUCGGAUGUGAAAUCCCCAGGCUUAACCUGGGAACUGCAUCCGAUACUGGAUGGCUUGAAUCCGGGAGAGGGAUGCAGAAUUCCAGGUGUAGCGGUGAAAUGCGUAGAUAUCUGGAGGAAUACCGGUGGCGAAGGCGGCAUCCUGGACCGGCAUUGACGCUGAGGAGCGAAAGC
rnacentral:rRNA from 1 species